UGGGGAAUAUUGCGCAAUGGGCGAAAGCCUGACGCAGCAACACCGCGUGAGGGAUGACGGCCUUCGGGUUGUAAACCUCUUUCAGCUCCGACGAAGCGAAAGUGACGGUAGGAGCAGAAGAAGCACCGGCUAACUACGUGCCAGCAGCCGCGGUAAUACGUAGGGUGCAAGCGUUGUCCGGAAUUAUUGGGCGUAAAGAGCUCGUAGGCGGUUCGGUAAGUCGGGUGUGAAAAUCCAAGGCUCAACCUUGGGACGCCACCCGAUACUGCUGUGACUCGAGUGCAGUAGGGGAGCAGGGAAUUCCUGGUGUAGCGGUGAAAUGCGCAGAUAUCAGGAGGAACACCAGUGGCGAAGGCGCUGCUCUGGGCUGUAACUGACGCUGAGGAGCGAAAGCAUGGGUAGCAAAACAGGAUUAGAUACCCUGGUAGUCCAUGCCGUAAACGAUGAGCACUCGGUGCCGCGGGUAUCGA
rnacentral:rRNA from 1 species